GGGCUCGUGGUCUAGCGGUUAUGACGUCGCCCUCACACGGCGGAGGUCGGGGGUUCGAAUCCCCCCGAGCCCA
rnacentral:tRNA from 2 species